rnacentral:rRNA from 1 species
AGCGAACGCUGGCGGCGUGCCUAACACAUGCAAGUCGAACGUGAAAGGGAGCAAUCCCAAGUAAAGUGGCGUACGGGUGAGUAACACGUAGGUAAUCUACCCCAGAAUCUGGAAUAACUGGCCGAAAGGCUGGCUAAUACUGGAUAGAGCGACGGAAUCCGUAAUUGGGUUUUUCGGGAAAGGGAGCCUGUAAAAAGGCCUUCGUUCUGGGAUGAGCCUGCGUCCCAUCAGCUAGUUGGUGAGGUAAAAGCUUACCAAGGCAAUGACGGGUAGCUGGUCUGAGAGGACGAUCAGCCACACUGGAACUGAAACACGGUCCAGACUCCUACGGGAGGCAGCAGUGGGGAAUCUUGCGCAAUGGACGAAAGUCUGACGCAGCAACGCCGCGUGAGUGAAGAAGGCCUUCGGGUUGUAAAGCUCUGUCGAGUGGGACGAAAAUGCUUGGAGUUCACAGCUCCAGGAACUGACGGUACCACUAAAGGAAGCACCGGCUAACUCCGUG